rnacentral:tRNA from 1 species
UAGCUCAGUUGGUUAGAGUAUGGUGCUAAUAACACCAAGGUUGUGGGUUUGAUUCCUGU